UACGUAGGGCGCAAGCGUUAUCCGGAAUUAUUGGGCGUAAAGAGCUCGUAGGCGGUUUGUCGCGUCUGCCGUGAAAACCCAGGGCUCAACCCUGGGCCCUGCAGUCGAUACGGGCGGACUAGAGUUCGGCAGGGGAGGACUGGAAUUCCUGGUGUAGCGGUGAAAUGCGCAGAUAUCAGGAGGAACACCGGUGGCGAAGGCGGGUCUCUGGGCCGAUACUGACGCUGAGGAGCGAAAGCGUGGGGAGCGAACAGG
rnacentral:rRNA from 1 species